rnacentral:rRNA from 1 species
UAGGGAAUCUUCCGCAAUGGGCGAAAGCCUGACGGAGCAACGCCGCGUGAGUGAUGAAGGUCUUCGGAUCGUAAAACUCUGUUAUUAGGGGAGAACAAAUGUGUAAGUAACUAUGCACGUCUUGACGGUACCUAAUCAGAAAGCCACGGCUAACUACGUGCCAGCAGCCGCGGUAAUACGUAGGUGGCAAGCGUUAUCCGGAAUUAUUGGGCGUAAAGCGCGCGUAGGCGGUUUUUUAAGUCUGAUGUGAAAGCCCACGGCUCAACCGUGGAGGGUCAUUGGAAACUGGAAAACUUGAGUGCAGAAGAGGAAAGUGGAAUUCCAUGUGUAGCGGUGAAAUGCGCAGAGAUAUGGAGGAACACCAGUGGCGAAGGCGACUUCCUGGUCUGUAACUGACGCUGAUGUGCGAAAGCGUGGGGAUCAAACAGG